rnacentral:lncRNA from 1 species
GAGGAAUGGAAAUGGGGGGUAGAGGCUGGGUGGGGGUGGGGGGGAGGCAGGGUGGACUUGAGGAUUCCACUUCCUGCCGCUGGCAAUGCUGGCGGGACACUCUGCAAAGAUGUUCGGCUGCCACCCUCUGGCAGGCUGGGUCUUCAGAAAUCAGCUCUGUUACUUGCAUGGUCUCUGAUGGAAAUUGCUGGGAUUUGUGGGCCACUCUCUAAGCAGGCACACUUCUGGGGUGCCCCCGGGCAGUGAGGCCCAGAUCCAACCUCUCGUGGUGGCAUGCUAGUAUUUAGGGGGCCCACUUCCCCUCUAUUUCAUCUCUGCAAACACCCUGGAGCGCAGGGCCAGAACACAUGGGCUCACAAUUCCCAACUAGGAGCUGCCACCCGGGGUGGGGGAAGGGGGCAGCCCAAACUCGGGCCAUGAUGGUCAGCUGAGCACACACUUAGCAAGGGGCCAUGUCUCUGCCUCAGAGCUGUGCCCAGGCCACCCUUCUCUUCUUUGAAGACCCUCAGCCCUGGGCCAUGGUUGGACUGACACGGGGACAGCUAUAACCCACCACCACCACCGUCAUUGCAUGCCCGCCAAGGACCCUGCUCAUCACCUGUCGUGUGGGGUGGGGGCCUCCGAAAUAACUCCGCCAGCGCCACGAGGCUGGGGGCACUGGGUUAGGGAGGGGGCAGGGUGGGUGGUGAGGGCCUCCAGGUUGUGCCUGAGCCCCCAGACCCAUGUCCCUCACCCCAUAAGUGUCAGGGUGGUGAUAUUGUGGCUGCCCUGGAAUCGAGGGAGAGGUACAGUGUGUAGCUGAACCUCACUGAAGCCUGUCCCACCGACCAGGAGGGCACGCCGCCCUGGGGUGGGGGGGGCAGGCGGCCGACCUGGGAUGGUUGAGCAGUUUCUGGAGGCAGAAUCAGAGUUUGGGCACAGCCUGCCAGGUGAGGGCAGAGGCAAACAGGCCAGGGAGAGGGAGGAGCAAGGCCCUGUCCCUCUCCACCUGUCUUCUCCCAGCAUUGUCUGCAGAGGCAUAACCAACAGGCUGGGGAGGAGACGGGAGGUCAAGAGAGCUUCAU